rnacentral:rRNA from 1 species
GCGUAACGCGUAUGCAACCUACCUUUAACAGGGGGAUAACACUGAGAAAUUGGUACUAAUACCCCAUAAUAUCAUAGAAGGCAUCUUUUAUGGUUGAAAAUUCCGAUGGUUAGAGAUGGGCAUGCGUUGUAUUAGCUAGUUGGUGGGGUAACGGCUCACCAAGGCGACGAUACAUAGGGGGACUGAGAGGUUAACCCCCCACACUGGUACUGAGACACGGACCAGACUCCUACGGGAGGCAGCAGUGAGGAAUAUUGGUCAAUGGACGCAAGUCUGAACCAGCCAUGCCGCGUGCAGGAUGACGGCUCUAUGAGUUGUAAACUGCUUUUGUACGAGGGUAAACGCAGAUACGUGUAUCUGUCUGAAAGUAUCGUACGAAUAAGGAUCGGCUAACUCCGUGCCAGCAGCCGCGGUAAUACGGAGGAUUCAAGCGUUAUCCGGAUUUAUUGGGUUUAAGGGGUGCGUAGGCGGUUUGAUAAGUUAGAGGUGAAAUUUCGGGGCUCAACCCUGAACGUGCCUCUAAUACUGUUGAGCUAGAGAGUAGUUGCGGUAGGCGGAAUGUAUGGUGUAGCGGUGAAAUGCUUAGAGAUCAUACAGAACACCGAUUGCGAAGGCAGCUUACCAAACUAUAUCUGACGUUGAGGCACGAAAGCGUGGGGAGCAAACAGGAUUAGAUACCCUGGUAGUCC